rnacentral:rRNA from 1 species
CCUACGGGAGGCAGCAGUGGGGGAUAUUGCACAAUGGGGGGAACCCUGAUGCAGCGACGCCGCGUGGGUGAAGGAGCGUUUCUGCGCUUAAAGCUCUAUCUGCAGGGAAGUAGAUGACGGUACCUGUCCAUGAAUCCCCGGCUAACUACGUGCCAGCAGCCCCGGUAACACGGAGGGGGCAACCGUAAUCCGGAUUUACUGGGGGUAAAGGGGGCGCAGACGGCAGUGCAAGCCAGGAGUGAGAGCCGGGGGCCCAACCCCGAAACUGCUAUUGGAACUGGAUGGCUGGAGUACAGGAGGGGCAGGCGGAAUUCCUGGUGUAGCGGUGAAAUGCGUAGAUAUUAGGAGGAACACCGGUGGCGAAGGCGGCCUGCUGGACUGUGACUGACGUUGAGGCCCGAAGGCGUGGGGAGCAAACAGGAUUAGAUACCCCAGUAGUC